rnacentral:lncRNA from 1 species
AUAGGGAUAAAAGGCAGUUGAAAUUGUAAGAACACUUGAGACUCAACCAAAAACUGUAAGCACAAACUAUGAACAGAUCGAGAAACAAUAUGUCCCUUUCUUUAAAAUAAAAAUAAAAAAUUAAAUAACUCACACACCCUUACAUGUGUCCCUAUUUUAUGCAUAAUCUGAUUCAUAUUAGUAAAGACGCAAACCAAAAAACGUCACCUAAUGGUCCAACAAAAAAACCGAUUGAAGAAUGAGGAGACAGCUAGUAAAGACAUCAAUAUAUCAUGUUCCUAAAUUUCAAUUUCGAUAUGCAUCUAAACUUGUAACACUUGUAUGUCUAUAAUGCAUUAGAAAUUAACCUGCAUAGAACCUCAGAGUGAGAUAUCGAAGCACAGAACUGAACGUACACAUUGCCAACCUAAAUGGAGUGAAAAUACAUAUAUCUGCCAUCCCUGCUAUUCCAUGAGGACAAAUAUGUGGAGUCAUCGUUUUGAACCAAAAUCAUAGUAUAAUCACCAUUGUUCCAAUCUGCAAACCAACACAUCAAGUCGAUCAACACCAAAAUCGAACACAUGCACCUAUAAUUUAAUUAGUAGAAAGCUCUACAUAUAAAAAGGUGAGGAACUUUCCACUUCAAAACCCAUAAUUAGAUGGAAUUAAAAGCCAUCACUUCAAAAUUGCUGCAAACAAUUCCAAGCCUUAGCAACAAAAAAUAAAAUAAAAAUUGAAUGAUCAAGAACAGAAGGGCACAUUUAAUGCAAGUGAUCAAGAACAACAAUCAGAUUAAGAAUCACACAUCUAACACAAAAGCUACAACAUCCAAAGGAAGACAUGCAUAGAAACCUACCUUUCUGAUCAAUACGUAAAAGCCUCACUUGCUCAAGAACACUAAUUUGGGGAUAGUGAUAAUCAAUAAUCAAAUUGCAAAAAUCACAUGCAAUGAGUAACUGAGGUGAAUCAAUCUCCAAUAACAUCAGAGAAAUACAAAAACAAACCAUUAACAAAACACUGAUAUGCAAAAUCAAACAGAAUCUCCAAAACCUAGAAACAUGAUCACAAAAGCUUAAAACUUUGGAACUAUAUAAUGAUGAAAUCAUCAACAUUAGUAUGAAAGAUAACAAAAGACAAACCAUGAAGGCAUCAGUGGAUGAAAUGUUGAUGAAAUAAUGAACUUUCUCUGCUCACCCCAAUCCACAACUCCAUAUAAUCAAAAGUAGCUUUUGGCCUCAGACUAUAUGAUAUCUCAUUCUGGGGUUUUUUCAGAAGGAAAGCAACAAUACCUGUGGGCUGUGAGGAUU